rnacentral:rRNA from 1 species
AAAAAGCACGUGAAAUUGUUGAAAGGGAAGUGUUUGCGACCAGACUCGCCCUCGGGUUCAGCCGGCUUUCGGGCCGGUGUACUUCCCCGGGGGCGGGCCAACGUCGGUUUGGGCGGCCGGUCAAAGGCCCCUGGAAUGUACCGCCUCUCGGGGCGGCUUAUAGCAAGGGGUGUCAUGCGGCCUCCCCGGACCGAGGAACGCGUCUCCGGCUCGGACGGUUGGCAUAAUGGUCGUAAACAGACCCGUUCUUGAA